GGCAUGGUGGCUAAAUGGUUAGCGCGUUUGCCUCACACCUCCAGAGUUGGGGGUCCGAAUCCCGCCUCUUCCU